rnacentral:rRNA from 1 species
GACGAACGCUGGCGGCGUGCUUAACACAUGCAAGUCGAACGCUGAAGCACCAGCUUGCUGGUGUGGAUGAGUGGCGAACGGGUGAGUAAUACGUGAGUAACCUGCCCUUGACUCUGGGAUAAGCCCGGGAAACUGGGUCUAAUACUGGAUGCUACAUGUCACCGCAUGGUGGUGUGUGGAAAGGGUUUACUGGUCUUGGAUGGGCUCACGGCCUAUCAGCUUGUUGGUGAGGUGAUGGCUCACCAAGGCGACGACGGGUAGCCGGCCUGAGAGGGUGACCGGCCACACUGGGACUGAGACACGGCCCAGACUCCUACGGGAGGCAGCAGUGGGGAAUAUUGCACAAUGGGCGAAAGCCUGAUGCAGCGACGCCGCGUGAGGGAUGACGGCCUUCGGGUUGUAAACCUCUUUCAGCAGGGAAGAAGCCACAAGUGACGGUACCUGCAGAAGAAGCGCCGGCUAACUACGUG